rnacentral:lncRNA from 1 species
AGCAGGCAAAUUUUAACCCAGAACAGUCUCACAGAUCCAGAAAAGAGCAGCACCAACAACCAAUCAAUGAACUUGAUUUACCCAAAAUGAAGUCGAAAUUAAAUACUGAAUAGACUCGGAGACUUCAAUCAACCAAACACAAGAAUUUUCAAGUUGUUUUCCUCUUUAAGCUAGCCAGAGAUUUGAGACAGUUGCUGAAAAAAACUAGAAAUUGAUCUAAGGAACUCAAUGUAACAGUGUUUUUGAAUUUUCUAUUAUAUUUCCUUUUGAUUUUCUGAAUUUUUUGAAGAAAGCUAAGAUCUAAAGGAGUUCGGAUUUGAAAUUCAAAUUUCAGAUCUAUGAAACUUAAAGAAUGUUUU